GCUGCGUUAGCUCAACAGGCAGAGCGUCCGGCUCAUAACCGGGGAGUUGCAGGUUCGAUUCCUGCACGCGGCA
rnacentral:tRNA from 1 species